rnacentral:ncRNA from 2 species
AAAAAUUGCUCGAUUUUAGGUGCCCUUUGGGGAGAAUAGGGAAGUUCGGUUCAAAACCGACGCGGACCCACCACUGUAUUCGAUGAGCUUUGUAGACCACUGGCACUUUGCUGGGAAGGUAACAAAUUAAAGCGAUGAUUCGAUAGCCAGGAGACCUGCCUAAAAUGUUUAAGUCUU